UUUUUUUUUUGCCAAAUCUGAGUGAUAGUAAAAGGUGCAUUUUUGCAUAUUAAAUAUUUUCUUCUUCAGUGAGAGAUUCCAGUCAAUACCCCAUACAGGGGUUAUGGAAAAAAAAAAAAAAAAGAAAAAUAUCUCAUGACAUUUUUUAAGGGAUACCAAGCAAUCCAAUCUCACUAGGAAGGGAUUUCACCACCAGCUAAGAAAGUUUUCAUUUUUGGGUCAGCUCGUUUGCAGCUGAGGGCUUUUAAUAUUUCAGCUGAGUUCACCAGACAAUGUGUUACGACAGUCUUAAACAAUUACGAGAAGGAAUGCAGGAACAGUCAAAGCAUCUGUUUUUCAGCACUUAUAUACAUAAGGGCUUUCUGAAAAACACAGGUAUCUGGAACCCUGAACUCUUACUGCAGUGUGAAGGAGAGAGAAGUAGAGACCAUGGUUUUAUCUCCUCUUUGUAUCCCAUUUGCUAUUUAUUUACAAUUUCAUCUCUUAUAUAGUAUUUUUGGUUAUAGCCUGUGCUCAGUUCAUUUUAUUUGCUUCUUCUGUGUUGCAAGUACUUUUUUAUUUCUUGCUUCUCCUUCCCAUUGUCUCAACCUGUUUUAAAGCUAGGAACUAGCUAAAUUUCUGAUUUUUACCUGGUUCUGAUGCAACAUCUAUAAAUUUUUGACCAUGACUUUGAAAGCUUGCUGUGACCCUUCUCUUCCUGCAGCGGAAGGGGUGAUUCAGAAACAGACUGAAAGCUGCUCUCUGCCCAGGUAUGUGUCCACAGUCUCUGUAUGAUGUCGAGACACUUGCUGUAAUUGGGGAUCUCCAGCAUAAAGACCAACACAAUAAAAAAUUUACUAUAAAAGUAUUUGGGGGGAAAAAAUGAAUACUUAAAAACUUCUUUGAAAAGGGAGUCCUGUGGGAUAACAGAACAAAGAGACUGAGGAAGGAUGAAGAAAACAUGUCUGUGGAGAACAGGAGUGCCUGCAGGGACAUGUUUUAAGGAGGAAGAUAUGUGAGUGGAGUAGGAACUAACAAAAAAUUAUUCCCAUCUGCCUUUCAUCUGGUCGCAAAGAAAGGUCGAAGAUAUAUUCUUUGGCACAUUGUUAGACAAAAAGUAACUCAAAAUUAGAGGUGAAAAUUAUGGCAGAUUUACAACGUAGUUAUUAAAAAACUCAAUCAAAGCUGUGAAGAGCCACAAGGUAACAAAGAAGGGCAGCCAUUGCUGACAGCAGUUGGAUUUACUUUUGUUAUGCUGUAGAAAGAAAUGCCUCUUGUUCCUGAACACAAGGCAGAAUUUUUUACUUCCCUGUGACCUGUAGCUUAGCUCAAAGGAAGAAUUCAGGGUUGUUUCACAAUAAUUUCAAUGAAGAUCUCUAACUUGCUAAAAAUAUCCUUUCAAAAUAACAAAAAGGUGUAAAAUGUCAAGGAAAUGUUAAAAAAGCUUUGGAGUUAAAAAUGUAGUUUUAAUUCCUUUUUAUGUCAAUAGAGAGGAAUAAAGAUGACUAUCAGCUAAAGUUACCUAGAAGGCUAAUUGUCUCCUGAAAUCACACAAAGAAAACCAUUUUACAUAUUGCAAAAUUCUGGCAUGUUCUUUUGGCAUCCUGUCAUUUGUUCUGAUAUCCAAACAAUGUACCAGCCUAAUUUGGUUUUGUUAUGUUUUUUGAUGCAAAUAUAAAAACAAUGGACCAGGACUUCAGUCUUUCAUGCUGAGGCUGAAUUAUUUUUUGUUUCAUGCCAAUUUCUGCAGGAUGUCCAAGGAAGCUGGGUGGAGAACAGCCCUGUUCUGGGACUGAUACUCCUGAUCCAAGCUGCCCAUGAGAACAGGCCCAGUUAUCCUGCCAGAAGCAGGGUUCUUUGUGUGGUCCCAGGAAACACUGAUUCCCAGCCCAAUUCUUCAUCCCUUCUGCAGCUCUUUAAACCUCCAACACUCAUUGCAUAACUCCAAGCAGGGACACAGCAGUCCUGCCAGUCUUGGUAUUGCCUUGCUACAUAACCCACCACAAAGUGGGGAGAUCUCAGUUCCCUGGGUCUGCUGUCUAUCCUGAAGGUGAACACAGCUUUUGCUGGGAACACCAAUGCCUUUCUGUGCACAUUCCAUAGCUGGCUGUUAGGACAAUAAAUAAACACUUCUUCCCUUCUGAUUUUUGGCACUGUGAUAACUAGGGAUACAGCACAUAGAAAUGAGAAACUGUGGACUGUAGGGAGCUCUAUGCAUGACACAUUUGUGUAAAAGCUGUCUUUGUCCCUGAAAUUCUGUCAGUCUAUCUAUCUGUCUGUCUUUCUGUCUUUAUCUGACUGUAUCUAUAAUCUGUAUUUUCAUGUCUCCUUAAGUAUGGCAUGACCAACAACCAGUAGAGACCAGUUACAACAGAUAUGCAAAGACUGAAUGUCCUUGAAUUAAACCAAAGAUCAACCUGCAAAGAACUCUCAACUUAUUUUGCAGAAGAAGUAAACUAAAUGUGACAGGAACUCACAGGAGUAGAAAACUUCCAGUUGGUCUGGUAUACCUGCCUCUCCAAAGGAAAUAAUUUUUAAUUUGUUUAAAUCUUGAACUUUGUGUUUUCACAUGCAGCUGAAAUUAGAUAAAUUAAAAGUAGAAUUAAGGUAAGACUUAUUUUCCAAAACCAUUAUUCUGUUACAUUAAUCACUGGAACAAUUUCAAUAUAAAGACUCUCCUACUGAAACAUUUUAUACCACCUCUAACUGGUCCAGAGAAACUAUUAAAAAAAAAAGAAAAAGAAAAAAAUAUUAGCCUUCUUUAAUUUAAACAGCUUCACAAUGAAAAUUGUGAGAUUCAUAGUAACUAGAAGACAUUUAAGAAUGGUUAUAAUGUUCUAGCUGUUCAUUGAUCAAGAAUCAUGGCAAUCACACGCCUUUCUAGUUUUUAGCAUUAAGCUAUCCUCAAACAAACUUUGAAUAAUCUGUGAACAUUUUGAAUGCAUUUUUCUUUAGCAUUUUCCAUUUUUUUUCAG